AAAUAGCUGUUUGCGUUAGGGAUUGGAACGGCAUCCUUUUAUGCUGGGCUUCACCAUAAAAGAUAUAGUGGACAGCCCGGUCCUCC
rnacentral:sRNA from 1 species